AGACCCGAAACCCGGUGAUCUAGCCAUGGGCAGGUUGAAGGUUGGGUAACACUAACUGGAGGACCGAACCGACUAAUGUUGAAAAAUUAGCGGAUGACCUGUGGCUGGGGGUGAAAGGCCAAUCAAACCGGGAGAUAGCUGGUUCUCCCCGAAAGCUAUUUAGGUAGCGCCUCGUGAAUUCAUCUCCGGGGGUAGAGCACUGUUUCGGCUAGGGGGCCAUCCCGGCUUACCAACCCGAUGCAAACUGCGAAUACCGGAGAAUGUUAUCACGGGAGACACACGGCGGGUGCUAACGUCCGUCGUGAAGAGGGAAACAACCCAGACCGCCAGCUAAGGUCCCAAAGUCAUGGUUAAGUGGGAAACGAUGUGGGAAGGCCCAGACAGCCAGGAUGUUGGCUUAGAAGCAGCCAUCAUUUAAAGAAAGCGUAAUAGCUCACUGGUCGAGUCGGCCUGCGCGGAAGAUGUAACGGGGCUAAACCAUGCACCGAAGCUGCGGCAGCGACACUCAGGUGUUGUUGGGUAGGGGAGCGUUCUGUAAGUCUGCGAAGGUGGCCUGUGAGGGUUGCUGGAGGUAUCAGAAGUGCGAAUGCUGACAUAAGUAACGAUAAAGCGGGUGAAAAGCCCGCUCGCCGGAAGACCAAGGGUUCCUGUCCAACGUUAAUCGGGGCAGGGU
rnacentral:rRNA from 1 species